rnacentral:lncRNA from 1 species
ACACACUAGUUUUCAGCAAAAAAACAUCUUUUGAGUGUUCUUGUCUUUCUCAUGGCUUGUUAAACACUCAAUUUCCACAAAGUAAUGCAAUUCACUUGCCAAAAAUGAGAGCAAUCAAAGAGGUAUAACUUGAGAGCAUUUUAGUGAUUUAAGGUAAAGACAAUGAGGAGAGCCACAAUGGGAAGCCAUGAGGAGUAGUCGCAAAUAACCCCUUGCAAUUCAAUUGUUUUCUCUUCUUGUUGUGAAUUGGUCGUGGAUAACUCUUUAUUAUUAAUUGGUGUUUUUUAUGUUGGAAGACAAGUUUGCAUCUCAUCUUUAUAUUUAAAAUUUAAUAUUACUCGCUUCCCUUCGAUAUGAUCCUCAGAGUACUUAUUUAUUCCAUUGUAACUAUAUUACAACCUGACCCGUAUAUUUGUGAUACCACCUUUCACAUCUUUUGUGUAGGAUUUCUACUCUGGACGUGGGUAUGUCCGGAGGCAAUCAACUACCAAAAAAAUGACCCCCUAUAUAUAUAUAUAUAUCUUGGAGCACGAGAGGCAAUGAGUCCCUUCUUCUUCCCUAAGAAAACCCUAGUGUUCUCCAACCUUCUCCUUCCUCUCCACUAUUUUUCUCUUAGUUCCCUAUUCUAGCUUGCUACUUGUCACAGGUGAAUCGGCCUUCCCGUGGCCACCACCUUUUCCUCCUUGUUUCUUCCUUUUUGAUUUAUUGUGUCAACAACAUAUAAAAUUACACAUUAAAAUAAAAUUCAUGUAUAGUUUUGAAAUUUAUCCCUUGAUUAUAAAGAUCUCUGUUUUAAGAAUUUAAGAUAACAAAUUAAGAUGUAAAAUGAAACUAUGAGCAUAUAUACAUUAAUUUACCUACUACCUUCAAAAUUUAUAAAUACCAGCAAGUAGCAUGGAAAAAUCUCCUAUGACUUAAGAUCGCAUUCAAAAGAUUAUCAUAUUUCUAUGGAAGAUCUACAACAAUAACUUCUCCACAAAGGAUCUCUUAUCAAGAAGGCUUUCAAUCAAUGACUUUUUAUGUCCCCUUUGUAAGGAUAAUAAAGAACCCCUUGACCAUCUCUUUCUUAACUACAACUUCGCUAAAGCGGUCUAGUUUGGAUCUCCCUUUGCAUUCCGCAUUAAAUCCUUAAAUGGUACAUCUAUAUCCAAUUGGAUCCUUCAAUCGCUUCAAUGUAAUAAUCUCUCAUCUGAGUGCUAAAGGAGUUUCUACACGGCAACGUCUUGCACUCUAUAGAUAAUCUAGAAAUCAAAGAACAAUAUCAUAUUUCAAGGAACUAGUCCUUGCCUCAUCGGUGUAAUUAAAAGAAUCUUUGACACGUUUCAGUCAAUCCUUAAUUCCUUCCAGGACAACUUUUACCAAAUCCGACAGUAGAGAAUUCGUUUGGUUCCUUUUUUAGAUACUCCUACCUCACAAUGGUAUCUUUCUUUUAACAUUGUUCAAAAUAGACAAAACAACAUGAUUGGAGGAUCAGCCAUGGCCCAAAAUUCUAACGGUUUCAAACUUAUAUCUAUCUGCAGUUUUAAAUUUUCUAGCAAACUUCUUGCUCGGAUCCUCACUCAUUGUGUUAUUCUCCUGCUUCUUAGGUCGCACAAUAUUAAUUCUUGUAGGCUAUUGAAGGGCAAUAAGAAAUGGAGCAACAUCAUUGCUGGUUGCACCAAAAUUGGAUGGAAACUUCAGCUAAAUUUUAAGGAUAUUAUGUCCCAUCUUCAACACGUCAAUAUUUCUUCGCAACCAGCGAAUAACCAUCAACUGAGAAGUGAAGCGUACCAUUGGACUAAAACUGCUUCUAAAACUUUUUUCAAUUUCUCUUGGCCUUAAUUGUUCUUGAUCUUGUACCCAAAAAAUUUUAUUUGUAAAUAGGGUAAAAAGAAAAAAACUCACUUCAUUGUAUUUUGAUCACCC